rnacentral:rRNA from 1 species
GUCGGGAAUUUUGGGCAAUGGGCGAAAGCCUGACCCAGCAACGCCGCGUGAAGGAUGAAGUAUUUCGGUAUGUAAACUUCGAAAGAAUAGGAAGAAUUAAUGACGGUACUAUUUAUAAGGUCCGGCUAACUACGUGCCAGCAGCCGCGGUAAUACGUAGGGACCAAGCGUUGUUCGGAUUUACUGGGCGUAAAGGGCGCGUAGGCGGCAUGACAAGUCACUUGUGAAAUCUCCGGGCUUAACUCGGAACGGCCAAGUGAUACUGUCACGCUAGAGUGCAGAAAGGGCAAUCGGAAUUCUUGGUGUAGCGGUGAAAUGCGUAGAUAUCAAGAGGAACACCUGAGGCGAAGGCGGGUUGCUAGGCUGACACUGACGCUGAGUGCGCGAAAGCCAGGGGAGCAAACGGGAUUAGAAACCCUGGUAGUCC